rnacentral:rRNA from 1 species
GACGAACGCUGGCGGCGUGCCUAACACAUGCAAGUCGAACGGAGUUAAGUGCUUCGGUAUUUAACUUAGUGGCAAACGGGUGAGUAACGCGUGAGAAACCUGCCUUUCAGUGGGGGACAACAGUUGGAAACGACUGCUAAUACCGCAUGAUACUUUUUGGGGGCAUCCCCGAAAAGUCAAAGCUUUAUGUGCUGAAAGAUGGUCUCGCGUCUGAUUAGCUAGUUGGUAAGGUAACGGCUUACCAAGGCGACGAUGCAUAGCCGAGUUGAGAGACUGAUCGGCCACAUUGGGACUGAGACACGGCCCAA